ACUUUGUCUUUUAAGAGGGCAAUCAACAUGCAAUUGCUGCAGGUAAAGCUGCCUGCAACCUUUGGCAAGGUGGCAAACAUUGCGCAGGAACCGCAGGCGACUGCAGCUGUUCCCUCACCCUCCAUCUUGAGAACACAAGCUCCCCUAAAUCUAAAAGAUGGAUGAAACUGCGCGUGCCACUAGGCGCGCGCCGCUGCCCUGCAAGCUCUGAUAAGCUCCUCCCACAGCUAAUCCCCUGCCUCAACAGAAACCCUGCCCCCUCUGACCUUUACACAGGGAGAGCAGCUAAUCAGCCACAAAGAAACACACA